rnacentral:sRNA from 1 species
GUGAAAAGAAUGCAUCUUAAGUUCACCUCAUCCUGUAGUAAAGGAUGCAUGACCCUCAUCUCCGAGCCCAGAAGA